rnacentral:rRNA from 1 species
GUGGGGAAUAUUGGACAAUGGGCGAAAGCCUGAUCCAGCCAUGCCGCGUGUGUGAAGAAGGUCUUCGGAUUGUAAAGCACUUUAAGUUGGGAGGAAGGGUAGUAACCUAAUACGUUGCUACUUUGACGUUACCGACAGAAUAAGCACCGGCUAACUUCGUGCCAGCAGCCGCGGUAAUACGAAGGGUGCAAGCGUUAAUCGGAAUUACUGGGCGUAAAGCGCGCGUAGGUGGUUCAGUAAGUUGGAAGUGAAAUCCCCGGGCUCAACCUGGGAACUGCUUUCAAAACUGCUGAGCUAGAGUACGGUAGAGGGUGGUGGAAUUUCCUGUGUAGCGGUGAAAUGCGUAGAUAUAGGAAGGAACACCAGUGGCGAAGGCGACCACCUGGACUGAUACUGACACUGAGGUGCGAAAGCGUGGGGAGCAAACAGGAUUAGAUACCCCUGUAGUCC